CGCGGGAUGGAACAGCGGUAGUUCGCCUGGCUCAUACCCAGGAGGUCGCGGGUUCGAAUCCCGCUCCCGCAUCCA
rnacentral:tRNA from 1 species